GUGGCGCUCUCUGACAGUUCCCCAAUCCUGUCGGUGUUCGGAAAAAUCAGUCGGAGUGGGACCUCUGUGUUUUUCCCCCUCAUCUCUAGUCGCGCCUCCAACCGUCAUGACGCUCCCCCCGCGAGUUUUAUCCACGCCGCUCCUCCAUCGACAUCUACUAAUUUCCCCCCCAUACCUUCCUCCCGUCCUGUCGUGUGGGUGUGUGUCGUCUGCGUGGAGACAGAAGAGUGGGUAGAAACGCGCUUUCCACUGUGUCGCAGUGCUCGGGUUCAUUGUUCCGUGAACGGAGCCUGGAUUUUGAAUCCGGGACAACUUUAUUUAUUUUUUUCCUCCUUACAGACACAAUAGAUGCGGCUGGAGGAUCCAGUGAGGAGUCGUUUUUUUUCUCCGCGAGCCUGCGGUCAUAGAGCUAUGUGCUUUAUCGUGGAUCCGUGAGGCUGCGUGUGCUCCUGCCCAAGCAGAUCCACGCGUCCUCACCUGCCAUAUGUCGUCUCUCCACUGAGGUCAUCCGAGGAGAACAGCGGGUGCAGGAAAUGUGGGGAGGGGGGAAAGACACAUGGGGUGUUGUUGUUUCUCCCACUCUGGGUGGGGUUUUGGUCUCGUUGUAAUGCAGCCACGUUUGGCGCGCACGUCCUCGUGCGCUUUUACGCACAGCGACACACGGACUGAAAAGGAGACUCGAUCGGACAGAAGCUGGAGGUGGAGAGGGAAGGAGGUGAGGAGCGGAGCACCCGGGACCAGACGCUGGUUGAGGUAGUAGUUUGUGCUGUUGGUCGGGUUGUCACACUGCCCCCUCAUGGAGAUGACUGCGCAAUCUACUGCCUUGCCAGCGCUGGUGACUUGCGACAGAGAGGAAUCAAACCCGAUCGGAAUGGAGUGAAUGGAGACGAGCGCAGUCAUGUCCGCUACUCGACGAGAUCACGUGGUUAUUGAAACAAACAGGUGCGUGGAUGAACAGACGUGUGAACUGGGGGUUGAUUACAUUACACACGAAUCUUGUGUUCAUUUAAAUAAAGCAGAUUUAAAAAAUAAAA